AACGCUGGCGGCAGGCCUCAUACAUGCAAGUCGAGCGGUCCUUCGGGACAGCGGCGAACGGGUUAGUAACGCGUGGGAACGUGCCCUUUAGUACGGAAUAGCCAUUGGAAACGAUGAUUAAUACCGUAUACGCCCCAAGGGGGAAAGAUUUAUCGCUAAAGGAUCGGCCCGCGUUAGAUUAGGUAGUUGGUAGGGUAAUGGCCUACCAAGCCGACGAUCUAUAGCUGGUUUGAGAGGAUGAUCAGCAACACUGGGACUGAGACACGGCCCAGACUUCUACGGAAGGCAGCAGUAGGGAAUCUUGGACAAUGGGCGAAAGCCUGAUCCAGCCAUGCCGCGUGAGUGAUGAAGGCCCUAGGGUUGUAAAGCUCUUUCGCCAGGGAAGAUAAUGACGGUACCUGGUAAAGAAACCCCGGC
rnacentral:rRNA from 1 species